rnacentral:rRNA from 1 species
CCAGACUCCUACGGGAGGCAGCAGUGAGGAAUAUUGGUCAAUGGGCGAGAGCCUGAACCAGCCAAGUCGCGUGAAGGACGACGGUUCUAUGGAUUGUAAACUUCUUUUGUAGAGGAAUAAUGGCAGCUACGCGUAGCUGAGAUGCAUGUACUCUACGAAUAAGUAUCGGCUAACUCCGUGCCAGCAGCCGCGGUAAUACGGAGGAUACGAGCGUUAUCCGGAAUUAUUGGGUUUAAAGGGUGCGUAGGUGGCGUAUUAAGUCAGUGGUGAAAAGCUGCAGCUCAACUGUAGUCUUGCCGUUGAAACUGAUAUGCUAGAGAGGAGACGAGGUAUGCGGAAUGUGUGGUGUAGCGGUGAAAUGCAUAGAUAUCACACAGAACGCCGAUUGCGAAGGCAGCGUACCAGGCUCCGUCUGACACUGAAGCACGAAAGCGUGGGGAUCAAACAGGAUUAGAUACCCUGGUAGUCCACGCAGUAAACGAUGAAUACUAGAUUUUUGCGAUAUAGUGUAAGAGUCUAAGCGAAAGCGAUAAGUAUUCCACCUGGGGAGUACGCCGGCAACGGUGAAACUCACAGGAAUUGACGGGGGCCCGCACAAG